AGUGAACGCUGGCGGUAGGCCUAACACAUGCAAGUCGAACGGCAGCACAGUAAGAGCUUGCUCUUACGGGUGGCGAGUGGCGGACGGGUGAGGAAUACAUCGGAAUCUACUUUUUCGUGGGGGAUAACGUAGGGAAACUUACGCUAAUACCGCAUACGACCUACGGGUGAAAGCAGGGGAUCUUCGGACCUUGCGCGAUUUCAUGAGCCGAUGUCGGAUUAGCUAGUUGGCGGGGUAAAGGCCCACCAAGGCGACGAUCCGUAGCUGGUCUGAGAGGAUGAUCAGCCACACUGGAACUGAGACACGGUCCAGACUCCUACGGGAGGCAGCAGUGGGGAAUAUUGGACAAUGGGCGCAAGCCUGAUCCAGCCAUACCGCGUGGGUGAAGAAGGCCUUCGGGUUGUAAAGCCCUUUUGUUGGGAAAGAAAAGCAGCAGGUUAAUACCCCGCUGUUCUGACGGUACCCAAAGAAUAAGCACCGGCUAACUUCGUG
rnacentral:rRNA from 1 species